GGACAAUCUGCCCUGGAGUGGAGGAUAAUCCCGGGAAACUGGGGGUAAUACUCCAUAGUUCGUUAUGACUGGAAUGUUUUUCGAACGAAAGAUCCGUCGCUCCAGGAUGAGUCUGCGGCCGAUUAGGUAGUUGUUGGGGUAAAGGCCCAACAAGCCUGUAAUCGGUACGGGUUGUGGGAGCAAGAGCCCGGAGAUGGAUUCUGAGACACGAAUCCAGGCCCUACGGGGCGCAGCAGGCGCGAAAACUUUACAAUGCGGGAAACCGUGAUAAGGAAACCCCGAGUGCCAGCACAGGCUGGCUGUCCGCCAGUGUAAAUAACUGGUGAAGAAAGGGCCGGGCAAGACCGGUGCCAGCCGCCGCGGUAAUACCGGCGGCUCGAGUGGUGGCCACUAUUACUGGGCUUAAAGGGUCCGUAGCUUGAUAUGCAAGUCUCUUGAGAAAUCCGCCGGCUUAACUGGCGGGCGUUCAGGGGAAACUGCAUUUCUUGGGACCGGGAGAGGUGAGAGGUACUGCCGGGGUAGGAGUGAAAUCCUGUAAUCCCGGUGGGACCACCUAUGGCGAAGGCAUCUCACCAGAACGGGUCCGACAGUGAGGGACGAAAGCUGGGGGAGCAAACCGGAUUAGAUACCCGGGUAGUCCCACCUGUAAACGAUGCGCGUUAGGUGUGUCAGUGACCACGUGUCACUGAGGUGCCGAAGGGAAACCGUGAAACGCGCCGCCUGGGGAGUACGGUCGCAAGGCUGAAACU
rnacentral:rRNA from 1 species